rnacentral:rRNA from 1 species
UUGACCUCGGAUCAGGCAGGGAUACCCGCU